GACUCUUGGCAAUGGAUGUCUCAGCUCUCGCAUCGAUGAAGAACGUAGCAAAAUGCAAUACUUGGUGUGAAUUGCAGAAUCCGGUAAACCAUCGAGUCUUUGAACGCAAGUUGCGCCCCAAGCCUUCUGGCCGAGGCCACGUCUGCCUGGGUGUCA
rnacentral:rRNA from 1 species